rnacentral:rRNA from 1 species
ACGAACGCUGGCGGCGUGCCUAAUACAUGCAAGUCGAACGAACUCUGGUAUUGAUUGGUGCUUGCAUCAUGAUUUACAUUUGAGUGAGUGGCGAACUGGUGAGUAACACGUGGGAAACCUGCCCAGAAGCGGGGGAUAACACCUGGAAACAGAUGCUAAUACCGCAUAACAACUUGGACCGCAUGGUCCGAGCUUGAAAGAUGGCUUCGGCUAUCACUUUUGGAUGGUCCCGCGGCGUAUUAGCUAGAUGGUGGGGUAACGGCUCACCAUGGCAAUGAUACGUAGCCGACCUGAGAGGGUAAUCGGCCACAUUGGGACUGAGACACGGCCCAAACUCCUACGGGAGGCAGCAGUAGGGAAUCUUCCACAAUGGACGAAAGUCUGAUGGAGCAACGCCGCGUGAGUGAAGAAGGGUUUCGGCUCGUAAAACUCUGUUGUUAAAGAAGAACAUAUCUGAGAGUAACUGUUCAGGUAUUGACGGUAUUUAACCAGAAAGCCACGGCUAACUACGUGCCAGCAGCCGCGGUAAUACGUAGGUGGCAAGCGUUGUCCGGAUUUAUUGGGCGUAAAGCGAGCGCAGGCGGUUUUUUAAGUCUGAUGUGAAAGCCUUCGGCUCAACCGAAGAAGUGCAUCGGAAACUGGGAAACUUGAGUGCAGAAGAGGACAGUGGAACUCCAUGUGUAGCGGUGAAAUGCGUAGAUAUAUGGAAGAACACCAGUGGCGAAGGCGGCUGUCUGGUCUGUAACUGACGCUGAGGCUCGAAAGUAUGGGUAGCAAACAGGAUUAGAUACCCUGGUAGUCCAUACCGUAAACGAUGAAUGCUAAGUGUUGGAGGGUUUCCGCCCUUCAGUGCUGCAGCUAACGCAUUAAGCAUUCCGCCUGGGGAGUACGGCCGCAAGGCUGAAACUCAAAGGAAUUGACGGGGGCCCGCACAAGCGGUGGAGCAUGUGGUUUAAUUCGAAGCUACGCGAAGAACCUUACCAGGUCUUGACAUACUAUGCAAAUCUAAGAGAUUAGACGUUCCCUUCGGGGACAUGGAUACAGGUGGUGCAUGGUUGUCGUCAGCUCGUGUCGUGAGAUGUUGGGUUAAGUCCCGCAACGAGCGCAACCCUUAUUAUCAGUUGCCAGCAUUAAGUUGGGCACUCUGGUGAGACUGCCGGUGACAAACCGGAGGAAGGUGGGGAUGACGUCAAAUCAUCAUGCCCCUUAUGACCUGGGCUACACACGUGCUACAAUGGAUGGUACAACGAGUUGCGAACUCGCGAGAGUAAGCUAAUCUCUUAAAGCCAUUCUCAGUUCGGAUUGUAGGCUGCAACUCGCCUACAUGAAGUCGGAAUCGCUAGUAAUCGCGGAUCAGCAUGCCGCGGUGAAUACGUUCCCGGGCCUUGUACACACCGCCCGUCACACCAUGAGAGUUUGUAACACCCAAAGUCGGUGGGGUAACCUUUUAGGAACCAGCCGCCUAAGGUGGGACAGAUGAUUAGGGUGAAGUCGUCCAA